rnacentral:misc_RNA from 1 species
UAACCACUCAAGCCUUCGCUUGGUAUUGGGGUUCGCGGUCUCGCGGCCCCUAAAAUCAGUGGCGGUGCCUGUCGGCUCUACGCGUAGUAAUACUCCUCGCGAUUGAGUCCGGUGGGUAGCUUGCCAACAACCCCCAAAUUUUUACA